rnacentral:rRNA from 1 species
GAUGAACGCUAGCGGCAGGCUUAAUACAUGCAAGUCGAGGGGUAGCAAGAUUGUAGCAAUACAAUUGUUGACGACCGGCAAACGGGUGCGGAACACGUACACAACCUUCCUACAAGUGGGGAAUAGCCCAGAGAAAUUUGGAUUAAUACCCCGUAACAUAGCGAUGUGGCAUCACAUUGCUAUUAUAGCUUCGGCGCUUGUUGAUGGGUGUGCGGCUGAUUAGAUAGUUGGCGGGGUAACGGCCAACCAAGUCUACGAUCAGUAGCUGAUGGGAGAGCAUGAUCAGCCACACGGGCACUGAGACACGGGCCCGACUCCUACGGGAGGCAGCAGUAAGGAAUAUUGGACAAUGGACGCAAGUCUGAUCCAGCCAUGCCGCGUGAAGGAUUAAGGUCCUCUGGAUUGUAAACUUCUUUUAUAAGGGACGAAAAAAGGUCUUUCUAGAUCGUCUGACGGUACCUUAUGAAUAAGCACCGGCUAACUCCGUGCCAGCCGCCGCAGUAAGAC